UACAUGGGGUGCAAACGUUGCUCGGAAUUAUUGGGCGUAAAGCGCGCGUAGGCGGUUACUUAAGUCGGAUGUGAAAGCCCUCGGCUUAACUGAGGAAGUGCACCCGAAACUGAGUAGCUAGAGUACGAAAGAGGGUCGCGGAAUUCCCGGUGUAGAGGUGAAAUUCGUAGAUAUCUGGAGGAACACCGGUGGCGAAGGCGGCGUCCUGGACCAACACUGACACUGAGGAGCGAAAGCCAGGGGAGCAAACGGG
rnacentral:rRNA from 1 species